UCAACAUGCCAGGCACGGAAGACGUCAAAACUCUAAUUUUCCUGCUUUGCUCAAGACGCUGACGACGAAUGAACGUGAGUUUGGGUCGUGGCUUAUGCAGAAUAAGACCGCUCUAGGUGAAUUUGUAUCAGCGACGGCGGAUGCGAUUAUG